rnacentral:rRNA from 1 species
AACCAUAAACUUAGACAAUACUUCACCAUAUUGUUCGCCAGAGUACUACAAGCGCUAGCUUAAAACCCAAAGGACUUGGCGGUAUCCCACACCCACCUAGAGGAGCCUGUUCUAUAACCGAUAAUCCCCGUUCAACCUCACCACUUCUUGCCAUUACCGUCUAUAUACCGCCGUCGUCAGCUCACCCUGUGAAGGGUCAAAAGUAAGCAAAAAGAAUUUAAACUCCAAAACGUCAGGUCGAGGUGUAGCAAAUGAAGUGGGAAGAAAUGGGCUACAUUUU